rnacentral:misc_RNA from 1 species
AAAUCCCACGUCUGUGAUCAAUCAAGUGUCUCAGGACCUCAUAUAUUGUGUCGUAUACAAUAGAACUGAAAGACAUUCUGUACAGUGUCGAGAAUCCGUCUGUAUUUACUGUCACAGAAAAUAUUCUCUCAUGAAGUCAACUAGGCCAAUACAUUAUAAGUAUUAAGAAGAUAUAAGCCUAUAGAUAAAGCAACAUGAGUACCAGUAACGUUCGAACUGAGUCCCGGACUUACAGAAUCGAAACCCAGCAAAGAUUUACGUCUGGCCAACGCACAACUAACGCGAGCGACUACGGUACUAAGUCGGUUACAAGUAGCCAGUUUAACGGCUCUCCUGCGAAAAAUGUACCUAGCAUUCGCGUUACCAGCGAAACGAAAUCGCACGAAUUCAGACCCGUAUCACCUUUAUAUGAUCAGUACAAAUCCAGAUCACUAAAUGACAACGAGAUGGAUCGGCCAACAGCGAUGAUAAAGAGCUCCGACAUGACGGAAGAGAUGCAGGAAUCAGCCGUCGAGGUAGCAAUUGAGGCGUUUGAACGGUGCAAGAUAGAGAAGGACAUCGCUGCAGCCAUUAAACGAGGCUUCGACGAGAAACAUGGACCUGCGUGGCAUUGCAUCGUCGGCAAGAGCUUCGGAAGUUACGUAACUCAUGAGACAGAUUAUUCUAUCUACAUGUAUAUCGGGCAGAUGGCUGUUCUGCUGUUCAAACAAGGAUAGCUAAUUCGUCCAGCAAAUAAAUUCAAUUAUAAUAAAUAACUUCUUUCGUAUAUUUAUUUUUUUGUAAAUCUCGGAGCACCUAUUUUGAAAGAUAUGUCCAAGGUAGGCCUACCUUCAGUAUAGGUUUAUUUCUUGAUUUCUUUUGCCAAAAGUUAGCAAUAUGUUGGCCUUAUCUUAUUAAUAGGAAUUCAGCUGUGUUUGAACUUCUCUCUUACUAAAACCUCUAUCACCAGUCUCUGAAGGCUUUCGGUGGCAAUGUUUCAUUAAGAGCAGUGAUUCCUGAGAAAUCAUUAUGGUUAGCUUACAAGUACGGGGUAAGCUUACAAGUACGAAACUUACAGUAACCACAGACCCUAGGGUCUAUGCAAUAUAACUAACCAUCAUAGGAAAAAGUAUCACUAUCACUCCCGGCAUUUACAUAACGCCUUUCUUUUCAGAGGAUUAAGCUGGUGUCAUUUCGGCCGACGUACGCCAAAAACAGGCCUCCAUCUGUACGUAGCUAAUUAAUUUGGCCAUCACAAACCGAAAAACUAGUAAAUUCAAAACUUGUGAUUCAUAGGGGCUUGUAGCCCGGGACCUAAAUUUCCUACCCACGGCCGAAUUUAGGGGCGGAUUUAGGGCCCGGCCCCCCCUUUUUGGAACAAAAAAAAAAGAAAAAAAGAAAGAAAAAGAAAAAAAUGAUAGCCCACAACGCCUCAAAUGUUAUUUUCGGGCGUCUAGAACACAAAAAGUUCGCGGACCCCCUAGGUCAUUGUUGUCUCGAUCGGCCCAAAUUUCGGCCCCCCUCCCCCUUUUGGACAUCUCUGGAUCUGCCCCUGGUUCAAUUUACAGGGAUUUCUACUAAGGGGAAAUACUUAUUGACGAUGUGAUCAAGAACCGAAUACACUGAAAACGAAGUCCUUGACUUUGACACACUAUCACACUUUUGUCUGAUUACUGGUCUCAUGAAGAACAAAAAUCUUAAGAGUUUGCCUUGUUUUAGGCCUAUUGUAGAUAUAAUUUAUUUCAAAUAAAUGGAAUUUUGUAUUGACUAUUAACAUAUCGAACAACUCGGUCUUCCGAUGCAUGGAGACAUCAACUUCGAUAUUUUGAAGAAACUGUAACAUACUGUACUGAAGUUAAUAAAAUGUUUCCAAUAGACUGUAUCAUUUUAAAUAUUUUUGUCAUUCUUAUGCCGUUUGGUCGAAGAUAAUUAAAAAGUAAGAA